UAAGAGGCACCGCCUGCCCUGUGACUUUAUGUUUAACGGCCGCGGUAUCCUGACCGUGCGAAGGUAGCGCAAUCACUUGUCUUUUAAAUGAAGACCCGUAUGAAUGGCAUCACGAGGGCUUAACUGUCUCCCCUCUCUAGUCAGUAAAACUGAUCUCCCCGUGCAGAAGCGGGGUUGCCCACACAAGACGAGAAGACCCUGUGGAGCUUUAGAUAUAAAGAGGGGCACCUUAAGAAGUCCCGUAAAAGGAACCCAAUCCCCAGUGCACUCCUUCUCGAAUAUCUUUGGUUGGGGCGACCGCGGGGACAAACAGAACCCCCACGAGGACUAAGAGUACCCCUCCUAAAACCAAGAGCCACCACUCUAAGUACUAGAACAUCUAACCUUAAAUGAUCCGGCACAUGCUGAUCAACGAACCAAGUUACCCCAGGGAUAACAGCGCAAUCCUCUUCCAGAGCCCAUAUCGACAAGGGGGUUUACGACCUCGAUGUUGGAUCAGGACAUCCUAAUGGUGCAGCCGCUAUUAAGGGUUCGUUUGUUCAACG
rnacentral:rRNA from 1 species